rnacentral:lncRNA from 10 species
AGCCAUAUUCUUUCCCUCAACUCUCCUUAAAGUCAUCUCUACCAAAGUCCUGCUCCUUCUCCAUUAUUUUCUCUGCAAUUUAACAACAUGAUGCUGAGUCCAAAGGAAUAGUCCUAAUCUACAUAUCAAGUCAUGGUAUUUUAAUAAACCGAAUAUUUUAAAAUAAAUGUCUUCCUCUUUCAGAUGAUAAGCCUUAAGUAGAGCCUACUGUCCAGUAAAAUGUAAAGAGUUAUAUUAUAACAUGUAUAUAAUUCCAAUAUUUUGGAGGGUCUGGUGAGAAUUUUGCUUGUUUGUUUGUUUUUUGAAAUGGAGUCUCACUCUGUCGCCCAGGCUGGAGUGCAGUGGCGCUAUCUCGGCUCACUGCAAGCUCCGCCUCCCGGGUUCAGGCCAUUCUCCUGCCUCAGCCUCCCGAGUAGCUGGGACUACAGGCGCCUGCCACCACGCCCGGCUAAUUUUUUUGUAUUUUUAGUAGGUAAGCAGAAGACUUGGGGAAGAGAGAUAAAUCACAAGUCUAUUGUAGUAAGUCAGGUGAAAGAUGCCAUGAGCCUGGAUGAGGGAAAAAGAAAAAUGAAAUGGGAUAUAGUAACAA